rnacentral:lncRNA from 1 species
AUGUCAUUGGCAACCAAUCAAAAACUUAAAAGGGCCAGCCGGGGCCCGCGCGGAGCAGCUGCUCUCUAUUUACAUGUAAACCGAACCGGCUGGAUGCAGUUAACCCUUUCCGGGGCCGAAGUGUCAAUGGGCCGGAUCGCCGCUCCGGCUCAAACCGGCUGGGUCCCUGGGCCCGGAGCCCCCCGCGUGCCCCUGCCCCGGGGGUGCGGAUCGCGCCUUCUCUUUCCCUCCUACUCGGGACCAAGGAUCGGAAGAGUCGGAGUAACUUUCCGAGGGCGGGCCCCGCGAGCAGUCUCCGUCCCCGGCGGGGAGCCGGCUCGCCCAGGCGCUCCAGGCGCAAAGGAGUUUGAUAAGGACAGUAGAGUCUUACAUGAGGAGCACUAUAGGAUACUCGGCUAUGAGUUUUCUCUCUUACUAGAUUGAAGGUGUUUGGAGACAUGCUUCGGGCUCCACGCCUGUCUGAACUAUGGCUUUUAGGAACUUUGAAAAGGCUUCUGCACUUUACAUAUUUUUGUGAGCAGUGCUGUUCUAGAGCUCCUUUGAUUUGAGGUCACUUUGGUGCCAAAGGCACCAGAACCACAGAAUGUUAGACCUGAACGGGACUUAGAGCUUAUCUAGGCCAAUAGUUUUCAAACUGUGUUAGGAUGAGCCACAGGGAGUGGAGACACCAUUGCCAGGGGACGAGUAAAACAAGAGUCCUGGUGGUGAGCUAGAGGAGCUCUGAGACCAUGCUCCCACCCCUCACCCCCGACUUGAGAUGUAUUCUUCUAUUCCUGAGACCCUGAGGUAAGAUUUCCUUUGAAGAAAGGAUUCUGGUUGGUGUUUUAUUUUGUUUUGUUUUAACCCCGAUGCACCAUUUUACGGGUAAGUCCAUCUGAGGCCUAGGGAAUGGAGAUGACCUGGCCAAAGAAGCCAUGCUUGACCUCAGGACUUGACCACUUCACGUCAAGGCCCAGCGUAGCAUCUACAGAAGAGGAAGUGACUGACCCAUUGGGAAAUCAAUAAACUCCCUGUCUCAACUGAGGGGAACCAAUCCCCUUUCCAAGCAGUUAGCUCUUCGUCCCCUCCAUUUGUGACCUCAGAAAUGCCUCCUGCUUUUUGUCAAAAGGCAACUCUGGCUAGGCCCCGAGUGUGUGGAUCGUUGACACAAGCUUCUCUUCUUUAUAAAAAUACCAAAGAAUUCACUGGCGAUUGGUUUCCAGCAAGGUGUUGCUCUUCGAUGGAUGGCCUCUUAUUACCACGUGUUGCUACAUCAAAGACUUAACAUCUCCCCCUUUGCCAGGCUGAGCAAUCCUUUUCUCAUUAGCAAAUGCCGUCAGACCCACAGUGGCACAACCGCAGGAGGCUGUGACUGAGAGCUGUGAAGGUACCUGGUGGGCCGCGGAGACAAGAGGUAAAGCCCCUCCGACGUGGGUCAGGUCUCACACCUAAGCCCAGGAAUUAGCCUAACAUCCUCAGGACCCUUUAGCGGGUUAUGCCUGUGCUGCUCCCAGAUGGAGCACGCUCCUUCUCAUUGCCCCCUGUGUCAUCAUGUGCCGUGCUUAUCUUUACAAUUAAACAGGGCCUGAAAAAAGAAAUAAAUUAAGUUAAAAAUAAAUAAUAAAUAAAUAAGUAAUAAAUAAAUAAAUAACAAUUAAAUAGGGCCUGAACCACCUUUACAAAUCUGGUAUUUGGGAAAGUGGUAAUAACAGGUACCAGGUUUUGUUUUGCUCUGUGCCCAGCACUGCCCUGAGUGAUCUAUGCACAUUAACUCAUCUAAAGCUUCACACCCACAUCCCCGCUUGUAAGAAAGCCUCCUUUUAUUAGCCUUAAUUGAAAGAUGAGGAAACAGAAAUACAGACGGGUUAGGAAUCUGCCCCGGGUCACACAGCUACAAAGCAGCAGAGGCAACAUUUGAACCCAGACAAUCCGGCGCCAGAACAUCUGCUUUUAACCAUUCUGUGUGAUUUAAUUCACUCUCUCUGUGAUUUUAUAAACUUUUAUCAUAUCCCCCUCCGCCUCCAGACUGCCAGCAUAUUUUUAAUUGCCUCUUUGUGAGAAUUUGCUGGGGUUUUCUCCUCUGCUUUCUCCUGAAACUUCUCGGAGUCCUUUAGGUCCUCACAUGGCCUCCCUCCCUGCUGGAUCUUCCACGUUUGGGAUGGGAUCAAAACCUCCCCUGUUUCCAGAAUGCUCCCAGGUAGUGCUCUAAACUUGGUCCGUGUUUUGGUCACUGCUGCAGGCAGCAUGGAAGAGCCUAGGGCAGCUGCAUUACCCAGACCUCAACUCGUUCACCAUCCCUUCCCAGCGCCUGGGACAAGUGAGCUCAGCAAGUGCCCGGUGAAUGAAUAAACGAUCAGAGGAACGAACUGAGCAUUUUUCUUACGCAUUUUUCUUAUGUUUCUCCCUGCACACCAGGGCUCAUCUGAUGCCUUUGAAGCUACUGAUCUGGGCCUCCUGCCACAGGGAGAAGUUAAGGCCCCUCCAAAGUCCCUAAAUCCAGCCCUCUUCUGAAUUACUAAUGCAGAUAUUUACCAAGUAAAUGGAGCCCCAUGGAGCCCCAUUGCUUGCGCAUCCCUCUGCUGGCCAUAUUCUCCCAUUCAUGGUUUAACUCCAAUUUCUUUUUCUUCUGGCUUCAAUGCAAAUAACAUCUUUCUCGUUACCAUCCAUCUCAUUAUGAUCCAUAUCGUGCUCGAAUUUUGUAUCUGUCAGCACUCUGUGCACUGGGAUCGUCUUCCAGGCUCUGGAAAAUUUCCCCCUUCUUGUUCACCAAGUUUCAGCAGAACGAAGGCAUGUUCCUUUUCUCUUUCAACAUCUUCCUUUUUGUAGCAUUCAACAGCAUCCGUUUCCAUGUGCUCCUCUCCGGGAGGGGCAGCUCAGCCAGUGUUUGUUUUCCGGCAUAUCACUGAUGCUGAUGGAUAGCUUUUUUCCAGAAAGAGGCAUUUCAUCCAGACCUGUGUCUGGAAGCCCACAAGUCCUUCAUCCUGCCAGGAAUGGGUGAUGUGGUCUUAAAAACUUGCUGCUCCGGGGAUCCCUGGGUGGCUCAGUGGUUUAGUGCCUGCCUUCGACCCAGGGCAUGAUCCUGGAGCCCCGGGAUCGAAUCCCACAUCAGACUCCCUGCAUGGAGCCUGCUUCUCCCUCUGCCGUGUCUCUGCCUCUCUCUCUCUCUCUCUCUCUCUCUCUCUCUGUCUCUCUCAUGAAUAAAUAAAUAAAAUAUUAAAAAAAAAAAAACUUGCUGCUCCGGUUCUGGACUAGAUGGGGACCAAUGACCUGAGGAAUCCUGUUUCUAGUGUUCUGCGAAGGUGGCUCAUGUCCCCUUGGGUGCCCCAUGGGGGAUGUUCAGUUUUGCCCCUGAUUUAUGUGAUGGAUAAAGCAACCACUUCAGAAUUACAUUCUAGGUCUGCAAGGACUAAGAAUGUUACAAAUGUGGUAGAAGGGUCCCCUUCUGGGUGAAUUGAAGUGUCCACCGUGGGCUGAGAACUAAGCCCACUGGAACACCCAGGCUUGUAGUAGAUGCUCAAAUGAAUGCAGGUCAGGUCAGGUCAGGCCGAGUCACUGCAAGUUAUUCACAAGUAAGAGUAAAAUCCCUCUUGGUGUUGGCUACAUUUGUAGUUCAAGUAGGAAUCUUAGGGAAGAAAAAUAUAUUGAUGCCAUAAACUUCCAGUUCACAAAAAAAUUUACAAUUUAAAGAAGAUAAAUAGAUUGGAUCAGAAGGUGGCCACCAGAGGUGGCACUGUGCUUCAUUCAUCUGCCAACACACGGAGCCUGCGACAUAGCAGGCAUGUGUGGCUGAGCAACUGAGUCCCCUUUCUAAGGAGCACAGUGAGAUGCACAAUUCACAGGGGAUUUUUAGCCACCACCAAUGCUUCCUUUUGCACUGCCUAUUCCUAGGAACUAGGAUCACUUUAAAUUGGAUUAGUCCAAUGAAGUGUUUUCUCUAUAUUCUUCACGGAACAGAAAUGAGCCAGCAGAUUCUGAUUUCCUUUUCCAUGCAUCGUCCCAAGCCUCGUGUAAUACAUGAGUUCUCCAGAACCUCGAUGAAAAAAUUGGAGACUUAGACAUUUUACCUGUCCAGAUCACCCAGCAUAUUCCACUGAUGGUUGCUUCCAGCCAGCCCAGCAUUUUGGACUCCUUUCCUGAAGGUCAAACUUCUGCUUCCCCACUUCCUGCCCUCCAAUCAUCAGAAUUAGUUGUGGAAGGAAGAGGAAAAGGACCAAAAGAAGGAAGGAGAGAAGGCAAAAGGAAGACAGAGAUGGCUGGAGAUUUUUGUCUUGUUUAUCAUUUUUUUGCUUGUAUUUUUGACUGCAGGUUUGGGGAGUGUGUGCUUGGGCAGAGAGAGAGCAAAGAGUGGACAAGGAGAGGAAAUGUUGCUGAUUCCAGGCAUUUUUGUUUUCAUGAGCAAGAGAAUCUGGCCAUAGCAAGCAGUUUUGAAUGUUUUGCAGCCAAAACAUGGGAGCACUGACGUGGAAUCUGGUAGUCCCCGGCCAAUACAGGGUCCCCUCCCACCUGGGGUGGGAAGCAAGCGGUAGGGCUCUGGGUCUCGAGGUAUCUCCGAGGGACAGCUCUGACUCAGGCAGCAGCACACAGCUCCUGUGCCCGGCCCAGGGGCCUAGAAAAUGUAAGCAGCUAGUCCCUGCCCUCUGGGAAAGCUGACCCAAGGGACAUUUUGCGAUGUUCAAGUGCAUGCCCAGAGCCACUGUAUUUGAACCCAGGACAACUCCAAAGACAAGUUUCCCUGAUCCCAAGUAUAGGGAGCAGAUCGUGCCUCUGUCCUACGAGGAUGCAAGGCUUUUUCCCUCUGGUGUUUAAGCUACUGUGAUCUUCACCUCUGAUGAUUAAUUCCAUGUGUCAACUCGGCUGGGCUCUGGUGCCAAGAUAGUCAAACAUGAUUCUGGAUGUUUCUAUGUGGAUGGGACAAGACUGACACUUAAACUGAUGGACUUUGUGUAAAGCAGAUUAUUCCCCAUAAUGCAGGUGGGCGGGCCUCAUCCAAUCAGUUGAAGGCAUUAAUGGAAUGAAGAUUUAUCUCCCUCAGGCGAGAGAGCAUUCUACCAACAGCUGGCCUUCACACUUCAACUGCAAUGUUGGCUCUUCCUAGGUCUCCAGUCUGCCAACCCAUCCUGCAGAUUUUGGACUUGCCAGCCUUCCUAACCACAUGAGUCAAUUCCUUAAAAUAAAUCUCUCUAUAUAUAUAAACAUAUACCUUUUGAUUCUAUUUCUCUGAAC